AUUAUGUUGAAGAACCACCAAUUGGACUGGUGGUAUUGGCUUAUUGGCUUGCUGUCUCACUUAUUGUCCAGUUCUCCACUUGUUCUAACUCCCUUCAAUUUGUGGAUUUGUUUAAAUUUGCAUUUUCCAACUGUUGAAUUUGCUUUGGUAAAACCGCCUUAAAUGGUAUCCUCAUUUUCAUUGCCCUUUAGGUGUACAAAACUCCAUGGGGUGCUCAUGUUACUUAAUAUAGAUGUUGACACUUCCUAGAUUGUAGGGAAUAUAAACUGACAGAAAAGAAUACAAUUUUGAGUUCUUUUCUCAAUCAAAAGCAAUAAAAAACUACUGAGAUACAUUUAUCUUUUAGAGUGAAUUUAUUGCCAUGUAUUAGUAUUCCAUUGUCAUUCUCGUUUGGAGUGGGAAGAUUAAAAUUAGUGGUCUCAUGUCACAGAGGAUGCCUUUUCUUACUACCUAGGUUUCGAUUCUUAUAUGCAGGAAAAAGAAAAGGCGGCUGAAGAGCAUAAGCAGAAUAUCGCAUAGUAUAGAAAAUUCCUGGAAUCUUGUGACUUUAUUAAGGUGAACAGCCAGUGGCGGAAAGUUCAAGAUCGCUGAGAGGAUGAUGAGAGAUGCUUGCAUCUUGAAAAACUUGACAGGUUGCUCAUUUUCCAGGACUAUAUUUGCGACCUUGAGAAGGAAGAAGAGGAGCAAAAUAAGGUACAAAAGGAACAAUUGUUGCGGGUUGAGAGGAAAACCGCGAUGAGUUUCGAAAGCUGAUGGAAGAACAUGUUGCCGACGGUACUCUUACAGCUAAAACUCACUGGCUCGAUUACUGCAUGAAGGUUAAAGACCUGUCUUCGUAUGAAGCUGUUGCAUCUAAUACCUCUGGUUCAACACCAAAAGAAUUGUUUGAGGAUGUUGCUGAAGAAUUAGAGAAACAGGUGUGUAACCUAGCAUCUUAUACCAUCAUGUCUUGAUCCAUUAAUCAUCUGUAUUUUAGCUAAUGUUGAGAAUCGAAUUCGACAUUGUGAAUGUAAAUAUAAUGUGAUUUGUCAAUGCAAUUGGCAAACAGGUAGUGCCAUUUGCAUUCCAGUCGUGCAAUUGACAAAGAAAGUAGUCUCAUUUGCAAUCCAGUUGAGCAAUUGCCAUUAUAUGUGCUCAAUUAAUUGAAAAUGUAAAUACAAUAUGUGAUUUGUCAAUGCAAUUGACAAACAUGUAGUGUAAUUUGCAUUCUAGUCAAGCAAUUGACAAUCAAAGUAGUCUCAUUUGCA